CCCGUAGACCUUUAAUAGAUGAUAGAAAAUUUAGAGGAAUGCAGUUCAUAAGUGUGUGCGCGUGUGUGUUAGAUGUAAUGUACAUUUUGUUGAUUUUGACUUCUCUUUGAUGCAACUUUUGCCUGGAGUUAACUAAACACAUUCAUGAUCUUGUAUGCCUAAAAUUUUUCAUGUAACUUGAUAGAGUCUUGAUUAUUCAACUAUGCAGAUUAUGGUAAGAUAAAUAAUUCUAUACAAAUGUUAUAGGCAGGUGUUGGUGAUUAUGACAGGUGGAUAGUGGUGGUGGCUAACUGGCUACGGCAGAGGGUGGUGAUGACCAUGAAAUUGGUUUUAAGAUAUAAAACUAAUAAUAUAUUUUAAUAAUAUAUGGUAAAUACAUAAUACGUACUAAUGUACCCUUCACUUGAUGAACUUGAUAAGAGGUCUUAAUAGCAA